CUGCAGCCCGACUUGAGCGGAAAUCCUUUUUUGCUUGGACUUAGACUCUAUUUAGAUUGAAAGCUUGUGCAAAAAAGAUUGGGAGCGGAAGGCGGAUUAAGC
rnacentral:sRNA from 1 species